AUAGAUAAAGAAGCUCUCCCAGUUGAGAGAAACUCCCAGUAUUGACAGCCACAGGCCCCAAGGAGGAGGGCUGCAAAACCCCUAAGCAGAGGGAGAGACUCUAUAGGCCAGAGAAGCAAUGAUUGAGAACCACAGGCCCCAAGGAACAGAUCUCUGGAGAGUUCCUUGGAUAUUGGCUAGAGUCCUCCAAGGAGUCCGGGAUCCUUCUUUUCCACUCUGCCUUCCUGCACAUGGCUUCUUAUCCAAAAUAUGGAAUGCCUGGUCUUUCUUUACAUAUUCUUUAACACUCUGUCAGGUGACUCCGUGAUCAGCCUCAACAGGUGACCACAGACCCUACCAACUGACUUAAUUGCCAGGCAAUUGCUCACCUGAUAAAUUAGUUCUCAUGAGUAGGAGGCAGCCUAUUGUCUAUAGUGCUUCUUUUUGAACAGAGGACCAUCCAGAUGUAAUGACUCUGUUGUUAGCCCUCGACUGCUACCUCUUGGAAUUCCUGACCAACAUGGAGGUAAAAGGACAACAGUGAAGGCAAACAAGUGUCACAUUGGAAAUGGAGUUUGCAGCUUGAUAAAGACACAGACAGGGUUCAUGAUCUCACAUAUGACUCAGAAGUUGUAUUAGAUUUCCUGAACCAUGACAACCUGUUCCUGGUGUCGAUAAUGGCAUUGGUGAAUCUGAAGCUUGAUUUCAGGAGGACAGAUUCCGGGAGCGCGUGGCGUUCACCAACUGAGACCUUCAGGCAAUGCCUCACCAGAUAUGGAGCCAGGUUUCAUGACAGCUUAAGGACUAGCAAAAAACUUCAGUGACCCUGGACAUUCAGAGCAUGUAAGGCUGAAAGGGCCAGAGGAAAAUGAGCCAUGGGAUUUCACUGGUGGACCUUGUGCCUAUAGGAAAAGAGGAGAUCUGAAGUCUUAAUGGACUGAGGUCCCUCCUUGGUAACCUCCGCCACAUUCUGGAGGUGGGAGGGGGAGAAGAAAUAAUAUGAAACUUUGAAUUGUUCUGCAAUUUUGCCUUUUGAGAAAAUUUGGGUUAGAAAUAAGCCUUCUUCAGAGCACUAAGCAUAUUCUCCUUAGAUCCUUAAUGAGUUGAUUCUGUGGACUUUUGCUCCUGCAAAUUGGACUACUAUGAAAUGCCUGCAGCCGAAGAGGUUUCAUAUGCUUUUUUCUCCAAGGUUAUCCAUCCAGGUGACUGCUUGCCUGGGUAAAUCUCACAUGGAAAAUUACACUCGUGGUCUGGAUUGAAUCCUGGUUUUGUUUCUCUCCCCGAGAAACUGAAAGCCCACUUCGACAAAGAGAUCAACAUAACCUUGAGAAUGGACCUGCUCACAAAAGGUGCAUAAAACAAAUAGCAAGGAAGUAUUCAGUCCCUAGGCAUCUGCCAAAAGGGGAAAACAAGUUGCUCUUUCUUUGAGGAAGCAUAUUCCCCUGUUCAUUUUGUGGCAGGCACGCUGUCUUUAAUUUAGGCUCGCAUGCUGAAAAUACUUGUGCACACGAAGUAACUUGCUGUGCAUGCUCAUGUCCAUAAAGUUAUUUAUGUGCUAAAGGGAUGGCAAGAAAGAUCAGGGCUUUAGAUGACAUGUAUAAUUAAAGACUAUCCUCCACAUGCAGAGAGAAAAAAGUUUUUCUUUAGCUUGAUUGGCUUGCUGAUUCUAUGCCAAGAGGAGCCAUGUAAGCCUGACCACAAUAUUUAUUCCUUAACUAUUCGUUCCCAUGGACUGGAAGAAAAUAUUCCUGUGUGUGACAUGCAUGCGUUCUAACAUUUCUUUGCUGCUGCAAAAUAAAAAGCUAAAUAAGAGCUUCAGAA